GAAAUGCGAUAAGUAAUGUGAAUUGCAGAAUUCAGUGAAUCAUCGAAUCUUUGAACGCACAUUGCGCCCUCUGGUAUUCCGGGGGGCAUGCCUGUUCGAGCGUCAUUUCACCACUCAAGCAUUGCUUGGUAUUAGGCACUCGUCCGUCCCUCUUGGCAGGCGGGCCUCAAAACCUUCGGCGAAUUCACAUCGGCUUUGGGCGCAGUAGAAUCAUCUUUAACGCUCUGUGUGUCCGGUCGAGUCUUUCGCCGCGAAAGAUUCUCACGAAUCAUCUUUUUUAAAGGUUGACCUCGGAUCAGGUAGGGAUACCCGCUGAACUUAA
rnacentral:misc_RNA from 1 species